UACGUAGGGCGCAAGCGUUGUCCGGAAUUAUUGGGCGUAAAGAGCUCGUAGGUGGUUUGUUACGUCUGCUGUGAAAACCUAGGGCUUAACCCUGGCCUGCAGUGGAUACGGGCAGACUAGAGGUAGGUAGGGGAGAAUGGAAUUCCCGGUGUAGCGGUGAAAUGCGCAGAUAUCGGGAGGAACACCGGUGGCGAAGGCGGUUCUCUGGGCCUUUACCUGACACUGAGGAGCGAAAGCGUGGGGAGCGAACAGG
rnacentral:rRNA from 1 species